AGCGCCUGGGGAGAGAGAAUGAGGAGGAGUUGCGUAAAUCUGACAAACUGGUGAGUUUAACCUGAUAACCUAAGGAUACUGAUCACCUUUAAGCAAUCUACUGAACAUCUGUCCCCUUCCCGAGUUCUUAUUUUCUCGCAUAUUUGUCUAACUUGCAGGUUUGAGAUCAAACAAACUGUAUUACACAAAGAUAACCUGAGUACAUAAAAAUGCAGUUUUUACGUGAUGACAUUAUUUCAAAAAAUUUGAGGUGAUAAAGAAAGCUGUAACUCCAUCAUGUGAUGCAUGUAACCUGAACUGCAUGUGUUACCUGAUGUCACGCUCCCCAGCCUCCUCUGCAGGGCCUCCAGUCUGGAGAUGUAGUCGGUGAGCGCUCGGUCGGGGUCGUAGCUCUGCAGGUGGGAACAGAUGGUUUUACCUGUGAUGUGUGGAGGAGACAGCUGAUCGAGGCGAUUCCCGUCCACUUCUCCCUCUGCUGCUGGACACUCCUCCUCCUCCUCCGCUUCCUCUCUCUCUGUAAAUCUCCACACCACCUGGGUGAAGAUAUGGCGAAUCCCUCGCCUCUGUACCUGAUGGAAAUCAAGAAAACGAAGCUGUGGAGCUCAUCCCUGUCGCCUUGUGCCAUCUCUUCACAAGAAAACGCAUUCUAGAGGAACAAAUACAUGUUUUAGACAAAAACAAAAAAGAAAAGGUUGUAAUUCUCCACGAGGUCAGUAAACCCAGAGCACUAGCUUCCUACCUGGAGAGGGCGAUAGAGACUCGGACGGCAGAGCGGAAACGCAUCAGUCCCCGGCGCCGCUGACUGAAGGCCUCCAGGCUGGAGAGCGACGGCCGACUGCCCAUCUUGGUCAAGAGUGAUAACGUGGCCUCCUCACACUCCUGGAAACCACCCAGUAGUAACAGCAGGUACUUCUUCUGGUAGAUCAGCGCUUUACGGAAGCUUUCUGACCUCAGGUACUUCCCAUACAUCCUCUGGAAGUGACAACAGAGAGAAGAGACAGCAGUUAAAUUUCAGAGGCUUCAAAGUGGCACUCAACACUGAAUUUCAGCAUUUAGGUGAUGCUUCUGCAGAUUGAUUCUUUGGGUUAGUACAAUUAAGUUACUAUUAAGAUACAAAGCAGCGUAUUGCUGACCUUCAGUGCAGCAUUGUCAGAAUCAGGCCCGGUAAUCUCUCGCAGGUUCUCGGCCCUGAUCUCUCCCCUGAGCCGGGCCACCUGGGACUGAGCCAGAUGCAAAGCUUUCUCCAGACGGCUCUUCUCUCGAGCCCAAGCUUCCCGCUCCUGAGAAAGCAGCAUACCUGUAGAGUCCAUCUUUGAUGCUCCUCUUCUGCUGGACUGCAGGAGGAGAUAAGAUACUCUUUAGUCAAAGGACAGUGUACGAAUUGAUGUCUACUACAUGGGAUAUGUAUGUAAUACUAAGUGAGGAUUAUAACCUGACUGUACCAGAAACAAAUGACGUUGCAGAACUGCGACCUGUCACAGAAUUAGCACGUUUUUUUGGUGGUGUACUCACACUGUCGCCUGAUCCCAGUCCAGCCUGCCGAUAGCGUCGCAGCUCUUCUUCCAAGCGGAGCGUGUGGUUCCUCAGAUCGUUCUUCUCUUCGGUGAGACGGCUGACGAAUCCUGUCAGCUCGGCGUUCUGCCUCAGCAGCCGUUCAGUCAGCAUGUUGGAGGAGCUUCCUGCCAGCAGGGACGUACUCUGAGGGAAACAGACAAGCAAUCACAACCACGUGUAAAGCUCAGCAGAUGUUGUUUAGUAAACACCAACGUGAACAGGUGAUUCUGGCUCGACACUGCAGCGAGCGAGGUCUCUUUAUUCACUGAAAGAAUUUGGUUUUGCAUGUUUUGAUUUUAUCCAGAAAUAAGCAGAAGGGAAACCAAACAAGAACAUGUGCUGACCUCGGGGACGGAGGGUAGACCUGGGGACUGCUGCAGCAUGGUGAUGACCUCAUCAAGACUAGACUGGACCCAGGACAACUCUUCACUGUCCACCUCUGCAUGGUCUUGCUUGCCAUGCUGCGCAUCUUUGAGGAGAUGACGUGGAGUUUGCUCACAAUCCUGUCUACUGUGCGCCACGGGCCGUGGUGUGGCCCACUGCUGUGGCCUGUUGAAGAGACCUCUACUUGAGGGGAUGUGCUGGAG